UACGUAGGGUGCGAGCGUUAAUCGGAAUACUGGGCGUAAAGCGUGCGCAGGCGGUGAUGUAAGACAGGUGUGAAAUCCCCGGGCUUAACCUGGGAACUGCAUUUGUGACUGCAUCGCUGGAGUGCGGCAGAGGGGAUGGAAUUCCGCGUGUAGCAGUGAAAUGCGUAGAUAUGCGGAGGAACACCGAUGGCGAAGGCAAUCCCCUGGGCCUGCACUGACGCUCAUGCACGAAAGCGUGGGAGCAAACAGG
rnacentral:rRNA from 1 species